CCUACGGGGGGCUGCAGUGGGGAAUAUUGGACAAUGGGGGCAACCCUGAUCCAGCCAUGCCGCGUGUGUGAAGAAGGCCCUCGGGUUGUAAAGCACUUUCAGUGAGGAAGAACGCCUGGUGGUUAAUACCCAUCAGGAAAGACAUCACUCACAGAAGAAGCACCGGCUAACUCCGUGCCAGCAGCCGCGGUAAUAUGGAGGGUGCGAGCGUUAAUCGGAAUUACUGGGCGUAAAGCGCGCGUAGGUGGCUUGAUAAGCCGGUUGUGAAAGCCCCGGGCUCAACCUGGGAACGGCAUCCGGAACUGUCAAGCUAGAGUGCAGGAGAGGAAGGUAGAAUUCCCGGUGUAGCGGUGAAAUGCGUAGAGAUCGGGAGGAAUACCAGUGGCGAAGGCGGCCUUCUGGACUGACACUGACACUGAGGUGCGAAAGCGUGGGUAGCAAACAGGAUUAGAUACCCCGGUAGUC
rnacentral:rRNA from 1 species